GGGGACUUAGCUCAGUGGUAGAGCGUUUGCCUAGCAAGCGCAAGGCCCUGGGUUCGGUCCCCAGCUCCG
rnacentral:tRNA from 1 species